CCGAGUGGAUUACAGCCGAGUGCGGAGCGCGAGGAACCGCCAGGGUGUGUGUCGCAGCCGCUCGCCUUCGGCGGUUUGCUAGGCUCCUAUUAUGGCGGCGGCGGCGGCGGUUGCGGAGGAAGCGAGCGUGACCGCAGCUGUUUCAGGUGCCGACAGCAAUGGUGAGUCUCCUGAAGUCGAAGGAGAAGGUGUUGGAGCAGUGGGCCAAGAGAAGGACGCAGCCACGAAAGGAGCGGAGGCCGUUGGAGACAGCGAGGAGGACGGGGAGGAUGUGUUCGAGGUGGAAAAGAUACUGGACAUGAAGACGGAGGGGGGUAAAAUCCUUUACAAAGUUCGAUGGAAAGGGUACACAUCAGAUGAUGAUACUUGGGAGCCUGAGAUUCAUCUUGAGGACUGUAAAGAAGUUCUUCUCGAAUUUAGGAAGAAAGUUGUGGAGAACAAAGCUAAGCCAGUCAAGAAGGAUAUUCAGAAACUGUCCUUAAAUAAUGACAUAUUUGAGGCAAAUUCUGAUAGUGAUCAGCAAAGUGAGACAAAAGAAGAUACUUCUCCAAAGAAGAAAAAGAAAAAAUUGAGGCAUAGAGAAGAGAAAAGCCCAGAUGAUCUGAAAAAGAAAAAAGCAAAGACUGGGAAACUAAAAGAUAAAUCCAAACCAGACCUGGAGAGCUCUUCUGAAAGUUUAGUUUUUGAUUUAAGGACAAAGAAAAGAAUUUCGGAAGCCAAAGAAGAAAUAAAGGAAUCCAAAAAGCCCAAAAAAGAGGACACAAAAGAAACUAAGGAAUUAAAGAAAGUUAAAAAGGGUGAAGGAAGAGAUUUAAAGGCUAAAAUAAGAGAAGAUUCCAAAGAAAACAGAAAAACAAAAAAAGAGAAAUGUGUUGAAUCUCAGUUGGAAUCUGAAUCAAGUGUACUUAAUGACUCCCCUUCUCAAGAAGAUGACAAUGAAGAUUUUCAUUCUGACAACAGAGAAGAGAAACAGAAGAUUAAAAGUGCAAAAGACAAAGCAGGGCAAGAUGCAAUUCAGGAUGUUUUUGAUAAACAGCCAGAUGGCUCUGUGAGUGCCGAUGAAGAUGCUGAUGUCAAAGCAAAGAGAAAAAGGAAAAAACUGAGAAAGACUGAGGAACUCAGAGAGAGCAAAACACUAGAAAACAGGAACCUUUUCCUAGAGAAGAAACCUAUACAUAAGAAGCAAAGGAGUCAGGACAGAGGCAGAAGCACCACAGAGUUAGAUAAGCUGAUACCUGCACCUGCCCAGACACAGAAGAGUUCAAGAGCAGGUGUGGAAGAGAGAGGCCUCAGGUCUACUGACUCAGCUGGGGAGGAGAAAGAGAUUAAAAAAAAUGAACCCAAAGAAAAAUACCAGAAAAGGCAGGAUUUGGACAAGGAAGAAAAAGGUCGUAAAGAGCCAAAGGGAUUAAAGACAUUUAAGGAAAUCAGAAAUGCAUUUGAUUUAUUUAAAUUAACUCCAGAAGAAAAAAAUGAUUUUCCUGAGACUAAUCGGAAAAGAGAAGAAAUACCACUAGAUAAUAAAAUCACAGAAGAUCACAAAACCAAGGAAAACAAGCAGCUACUUAAAGAAAGGAGAAAUACAAGAGAUGAAACUGAUACUUGGGCUUAUAUAGCUGCAGAAGGUGAUCAAGAGGUUCUGGAUAGUAUGAGCCAAGCAGAUGAGAAUUCUGAUGGCAGACAACAGAUUUUGAGUUUGGGCAUGGACUUGAAGUUGGAGUGGAUGAAAUUAGAAGAUUUUCAAAAGCAUCUUGAUGGGGAAGAUGAAAGUUUUACUACAGCAGAUGCAAUUCCGAGUAAUUUAUUGAGGGAUGCUGUGAAAAAUGGGGAUUACAUUGCUGUGAAGGUUGCACUUAAUUCAAAUGAAGACUAUAACCUGGACCAAGAGGAUUCAAGCGGGAUGACACUGGUGAUGCUCGCCGCAGCCGGAGGGCAAGACGACCUGCUGAGGCUCCUCAUCAGGAAAGGGGCUAAGGUGAAUGGCAGACAGAAGAAUGGGACCACCGCCCUCAUUCACGCAGCCGAGAAGAACUUCCUAACUACAGUGGCUAUUCUUUUGGAAGCAGGAGCUUUUGUAAAUGUCCAGCAGAGUAACGGUGAGACCGCUCUAAUGAAGGCCUGUAAAAGAGGAAAUUCUGAUAUCGUACGACUUGUAAUUGAAUGUGGAGCUGACUGCAAUAUUUUGUCAAAGCACCAAAAUAGUGCCCUGCAUUUUGCGAAGCAGUGUAACAACGUGUUGGUGUACGACUUGCUGAAGAAUCAUUUAGAGACACUUUCAAGAGUAGCAGAAGAAACAAUAAGGGACUACUUUGAGGCACGUCUUGCUCUGUUAGAACCAAUCUUCCCAAUAGCAUGUCACCGUCUCUGUGAGGGGCCAGAUUUUUCAACGGAUUUCAAUUAUAAACCCCCACAGAACAUACCAGAAGGCUCUGGCAUCCUGCUGUUUAUUUUCCAUGCAAACUUUUUGGGUAAAGAAGUAAUUGCUCGGCUCUGUGGACCGUGUAGUGUGCAAGCUGUAGUGUUAAAUGAUAAAUUUCAACUUCCGGUUUUUCUGGACAGCCAUUUUGUUUACUCGUUCAGCCCUGCUACAGGCCUCAAUAAACUCUUCAUAAGGUUGACGGAAGCGCCUUCUGCCAAGGUGAAGUUGCUGAUAGGCGCAUACAGGGUGCAGCUGCAGUGACGGAACAGAGUUGGGACGGAGUCCUUUCCAGACCUGUUUUAGGACCCUGGCACAGCUAACACCUCCAGAUUUGAAGUUUCAUCUGUAAACCUCUUGCAGUUUCGGGCUGGGUAUCUGUUACGGGCUGUAAGAGGGGACGUGGGGUUCUAAUAUAUUCUGAAAUAGAGAUGUAUUUGUGCCAGUGUUCUCAAAUCUCGAUGUUGUCUCCAGACUGCAUACUUCGGUUUUUCCACAAUGUGGAAUGGUAUAUAGAAUUAUUUAAGAAAAUUAAAAGUCUCUUUUCUAACUUGAAAUUUUCUACUAGCCCUGGUGAAUUUCUGCAUUAAAAACAAGUCUGUGUAUGCCAAGCACUAAGUAAGGGGCGAAUUUGCUGGCCUCGAAGGAUGACUUCUCUGACUUGGUAGGCAGGUUCGAGGGAGGCGGUGUGAUGUCUAAUUUGCAGUUGCCACAGGUCCUGAAUUGGAGGUGACAACUUUUUGUAUUUGCAGUUACCCUUUAUUCUGGGAAAAGAUAAAAGAAGAUACGACUCACAAACUAACUUUUAUCCUUGUUCUUAGAAUCCACCAAGUAAUUUUUAAAAAGCAGAUCCUGUGCCCUCGUUACGAAUGCUGGGAAGGCAGCCGAGGUUUGUCCGCCACACUGGGCCUCAUGUGAAGAGCUAUCGUCUCCACAGAUUCCCCACAGCUUUGUUGUUCUUUUGAGAGAGAGGGAGGGGCAGAGAGAUGGAGGGACACUCCCAAGCAGGCUCUGCGCUGACAGACACGGGGGCUCAGACUCACGAACGGUGAGAUCACGACCUGAGCCGAGAUCAAGAGCAGAUGCUUCACUGAGUCCCCCCGGCGCCUCAGCUAUAGCUUCUCUGGAGCCAAAUGAAAAGCACACUUGUCCACUUUGGUUUCUUAAGGAUGAAGGAGACUUGAAUUGUCUUGAGACUCGCACUUGAGAGAGUGGUUUCUUGCUGGUUCUGUGAUGAGGCAGCUAAUAAUUCCAUCAGAUAUUAAUAAUGCUGCUACUUUGAUUAUUCAAAUAAAGUAUGUACAAAGUGUGAGCCUUGGUUUCUCUGGAAAACAAAGCAAUUCUCAAGCGGCAGCUUAACCAAAAGGUUUACAGACCUGCUUAGGUACUGCAGGUCAAAACCAAAGCAAUCUUCUUAGAAAGUAUAUACAACACAGAAUAUAUAACUACACUUUAUCAUCUGGGCCGUGGGUGAUAUCACUAAGUAUAUCAUCACUGAAAAGCACAUAGUCCACAUUUUUACUUCAAUUUUAUCUUAGAAAAAAAUCACCCCUCAGUCUUACUCUUUUCUGGUGCAUAUGGCAGUGAGGACAUCCUAAUUGGAUGACUCAGUGAACUUCUAUAUCAUUCGUAUCUGGCCCACUCUAAUAAGCAUGGCUGUAGCGGAAAACACAUUAUACGGGCUUUUCUCCGCAAUGGUUAGUACCAAAGAGAAACCUCUAAUACCUAACACUAGGCAAAUGUUGGACCACAGUUAGUUUGCUUUCACUCCGAGAAUAGGUCAUUUAGGAUCACUGAUUAGCAAAGACCAAGGAAAAGGAGGAUACAUACGCCAGAAUUGUCAAAAAGUGACUUGUGAAAUAAUUCUGAAAAUGUUAACAUUUCAUACAGUUCAUGUUUCAUAGCCUAAAUACUAUAUAAACUCCUAAAACUGUUGUAAACUUUUUAAACUUUAUUGGCUAAGUAAACGCAGAGAACCAUUCACAGGAUCCAUACGGCUUUCCUCUUCUCUGUGCAGACUUGCAGAUAAAUCUCCUUUCAGACCAAACUGGGAUUUCUAGGCCUCACAUCUACUUCCAAGUAAAGAAAAGUGUUACUAGUAAGCUAAAUCUAAUUACAGUGAGGAGGCACAAAUAAGGACCAAAUUAAAAUCCAGAAAUAGUCCUCUGCCGACAUCCAGAGCCCCCAAGAACCCCAGCUGGAAUCUAACCCUAAUACUGCAUAUCAGUUUAACUUGGAAGAAAUUAAUUUUUCAUUAUUCUACAACACACUAUGUCCCUCAUACUCUUUGCUUUCUUUGGGCUUAAAUAUAUAUACAUGGCUUUAGUAAAACAUGAUUUUUCUCACAACAGUGCCAAAUUUCAUGAGUAGCCCCUUAUCUUGGGGACUGACCCCAAAUUGCAGGCUAGAGGGGAUGCCAAAAAAAAUCCCUCUAACAGUUCCCAUUUAUAGCGAAUUGAAAGGAGAGUUUGUCUGUCAUUCUGUAUUUGUAGGCUACUACCACACUACUUUGCAACAUCAGCCAGCAAGAACUCUUAUAACACCUGAAUGAAAGUGGAAGUUUGCACCAUUCCAGAUAUUUUAACCACGGAAAAUUUGUCCACGAGGCAUAAUGUCAAGUGUUAACGAUUAUUCAUAUGUUGUUUAUAUGGAGUAAUAAAUUCACAAAUGAAAUCUG